UUAUGCAUACGUGUAUGCGUGUGUGUGUGUGUAUAUAUAUAUACACACACACACACAUACAUACGUAUGUAUAUG
rnacentral:pre_miRNA from 1 species